GUCUUCUGAACUGCCUUCCAGGUGCAGCCACGGGGAUGACACUGAAGAUGAGAGCAGCAAGUUCACUGACAAUGUUGAGGAAGAGGCCGCACGUGGAAGAGCCAGCAGCAGUGACAUUGGUGCCAGGUUCUGCCAUUCCCUUCUGAGACCUGAUGCAUCUGGCACCUGAUGGGGACCUAGAAUGACAAAGCACCUGUGAAGUCACUGGGCAUACUCUGUGACCCCGACAGACAACAGUUCUUGCUCUCAUGAAGGCUGCCUCCUAUCACAUGAGCGAAACCUGAACAAAUAAUAAGUUAAGUGCAUUAUGCUUACAAUUUAUAAUUCUGAUGAGUGUGAUUGUUUUGUCCUGUGUUCCCAGGUCCCAGUUUAUCAUCUACUGACUUAAAACUGGCUGGUGGUAAUUCACAUAGCUGUAGAACCCACAAUAACACAUUUCCUAUUGUCAUGGUCCUCAUUUCUUUUCCAUAAUGGUGUAAGGAAAUUUUGCUUUUCUUUCAAAGGCCACCUUGAACACAAGAGGCUCUGAGACUCAGGAUGUUUUGAGACCAAGGUUUUUAAUUGUGGUGCUGUAUCCAAGUAGCUGUGGAGAUAUAGGCAAGUCUAAUCCUUCCUGCGCCUUGAUUAUCUUCCUGAAAAAUAAGGAAGCUGUUGUAGGUCUAUGAGGUCACUUCAUGUUCUGGGGUGUCUCUGAGUCAAUUAUGGAAUAAGAUGUCUGUAAUAGAGAUCAGUAACAACUGUGGUCAAGAGCAUACCCAACCCUGAUUAGGUUUCCUUCAGGAGCAUCUCGCUGAACCUUUGGCCUGAGAAUGCAGAACAAAAAGAGCAUAAUAGGAGAUGCAAUGCCUGGUGGGUGGGAGAUCCAAGAAGACAAAGAGAAGAAUGAGACCUAUGCCAAGAAGAGGGGAUGUGCACAGGAGGCCUUACUCCAGACCCCAGAGCCUUGACCCUGGAACUGCCCUUCCAGCAAUGCCCAUCAGGUAAAUGUGGGCAUGGAUGGAUGGAAACACUUGGAGGUGGGCUGGGGAUGCCAGUCAUUACCUACACAGUUCCUCCUUUUAGGUCAGGAGAUACAAAAGAAAGGUUCCCUUGCACCAAAGCAGUGGUGAUACUAAUCUUCAGCACAUCUUCAGCCUUUAGAAAGGUUUUCACAACAUUUUCUCCUGAGUUUUGCAAGUAAUGCCCUCCCUAGGCAUUGGCAACAGGCAAUAAAGCCUGAUCUAUGCCCUGGAAGUGUCCAAGGGAGUGAGGAAAGAUGGCCCCAAACCAGACAGUUCCAGUGGGGUGUGACAACUGCUGAGUGUUGGGAUGCACUGGUUUUGGAUGCAGCCCAGACGAGCAGUGUGUGGUGACAUUGCUUCCUUAUCCCUGCCACAUUUAUCACUGCUCAACACAUGGAUUUUCUCCUCAGACACUCUGAAGGAGUUGUCAGGAUUCCCCUACAGAAAUGAA